rnacentral:lncRNA from 1 species
CAAGAUCUCAACAAGAUGAACAACUUUGUAGAAGAAAUCAAAAGCAAAUACUCAAUAGAUUAAGAGAAAUCUGGAUUACAAAGAUGAAGAAACACUAAUUGUUCUGCAGAAAAUAACUUAGACAGAAUAAAAACUUAGUCUGAAAAUUAUGAGAAACAACCUAUUUAUAGCAAAUACUAGGAAACCCUAAAUCACAAGACGACAAAGUAUUAGGGCGGUUUACGGAGAUACUCGACCCUUGUGAUCGAGUAGAGAGGUUGAAUAAAGUUGGCGCCUUGCGAUUUUCUUGCUUUGGGCAUGUUGUGAUCGAGCAUUUGGGUCGAGUAUGUGCUCGCGUUCUGCUUCAUCCUCUUCUCUUCCUUAUGCUCAAUGUCUGGUUGAGUGGGGAUCUGAGAAGACUCUGAAGCUUGUGAUCAAGAGGCUGCGUGGAGGUGGUGAUCGAGCAUCUGCUCGAGUGAUCUGAGGGAGGCUUGCUGGGGAAUGCUCGACUGACACGAUCGAGUAUGUCGACAGAGGAUGCGAUCAAGUGUUGUGGCAGGUUGUGGUCGAGCAUCUGCUUCCGUGGCCAGGAUGAUGGUACUCGACCUCGUGAUCGAGUAUGUGGUCGAGUGGUGGCGUUGAAGUGGUGAUCGAGU